AGAGAGGGAGGAAGAGAGGGGAGGGAGGGAGAGCCUGGGAAGGAAGGAAUAGCGAUUCCAAGAAUCAAGCGUUGGGUGCUAAGCGCGUGAGCAGCCUCACGCUAAUCUCGCAGGCGAUGUGGCGCCAAACAUGUGGUUAAGGGUCGUUUGGCCCACAUGAUCAGCCAGUCGUAUAGCGGAGAAAUAGUCAUUCGGCAUAAUUGUAUCACCAUCUGUCCCGGAAUUGUUCGUUUCUCUCGAGACUAUCGCGCUGAUCUGUUCCAAACAGUAAAGCUUAUGUUUUCCUUUGCAAGUUUCAGCCGUUGUUUGCUGAUUACACUGCUUGUUAUUCAAGGCGAUGAUGUGGCGCCAUAUGUAUUGUUCAACGGUUGUUGGCCCGCAGGAUCAGUCGUUGCAAUAGUCACUCGGCAUAAUAGUUGUAUCAUGUCGUCUGUCAAGGAACUGUUCUUCUCCCGAUACAACUGCAAUGAUCCAUCCUAAGCAGUAACACUUAUGUUUUGCUUCAAGAGGUGUAUAGAAAGUCAGAAACUGCCAAGAGUCACGCGGAAGGUAGCACAGACAAUAUAGCACUGAUCUUCUCAAUAACAGAGGACAGAGAUGCAGCGACCCACGCACCACCCAUCAGCUUCACUUGGCCCUUUUUAGUUGGAAGAUAGCAACAUUGAUUUCCCUGUGCCUUUCUAUGGAUAAUUAGAUGGCUGUUACCGGUUCCUUUACGGGAGUUUUCUGUCACUCUUUGGGGAAGUUCUCCGUCAGCUGUCAGACUGAUCUUCUUUAUCUGCAUCGCUGUUAUAGAAUUACUAUUACUAUUAUUAACACUUUCUGACGGAUCUUCUGAUUAAUAACAGGACCCCGUUCGAGUAAAGUCUGAACCUACCAAGCUCUACCGAUUGAAUGAGCCAAUCGUACAACAAAAAGAUAUUUUAAGAAAAAACAGCUCAUAAAAAACCUGGUGUCCGCUCACUAGCUCUACUGGUAACCUGACCUUUGGUGCAGCUGGCGAAGUUCGCAUUGGAUGUCCCCAGCCAGGCAGCAGCCGGCUGCUAUCCUAUCCGAGUCCACGUGACUACGAGUACACUGCAGUCGAUGUCAGCUCUGCUGCUCCUUGUCUUUUACCGCCUGCUCAUGCUGUUCUCUGCAGUACAUGGUACGUACUGAAGAAAAUAAACAGAAGGUGCCCAUCCACCCGCAAGGGCAGGCCACGGAGGGGACGAGGGGAAUUCAAUGGAGGAGGCAAAGUGGAGAGGGAGGAAAUGCCAUUGGCACCCGCACUGUAGUUCCACUUGUGCAGUGUAGGUGGUGCAGCUGGAGUUAAUUCCGCAUCCACCUAACUAGGGCAAGCAAGCAAGAGAAAUGCCAUUGGCACCCGCACUGUAGUUCCACUUGUGCAUGCGGCCGGUGCAUCUCCGCUCCUCUCCUCAUCAUGGUCUCUUCCAUUCUCAUCUUGAGCAUAAAAAGGGAGCAUGUAAGCCUGAGCUCUGUUUUGAAUAUGAGGAUGCUGAUAUUACUAUUUUGAGAGAGAAAAAAAUCUCGGUUGUGCCCGUUAGCUCAUAUGUUGCUCUUUGCGGACACACAAUCGAUCCCCACUAGGAAAGCGAUGGCCUUGCUCAUCAUGCUCGUCGCUUGGACAAUUUGGAGCGAAAGGAAUGCAUGCGUGCUCCGUCAGAAGAGUGCGUCGCCGGCGGUCCUCCUCGCCAAUAUCAAGGAGGCCAAGCCAUGGGUAACCGUGGGUGCUAGAAAUUGGGUCAUCUGAUGCCGCGAGAGUAGUGAGUCAUUGUUAUUCGGGGCGUUGCGGAACUAUCCGUGUUGUAACACAAACUAAACUCUAUUCCUCUUCUUAAUCAAUGAAUGGGGCAAUUUUUUUGCCUCUUGUUCAAAAAGAAAAAAACAAUCUCGUAAUGGUUUUGCACUCAUCUUAAAUCAUAG